rnacentral:rRNA from 1 species
CUACGGGWGGCWGCAGUAGGGAAUCUUCCGCAAUGGGCGAAAGCCUGACGGAGCAAUGCCGCGUGAGUGAUGAAGGUUUUCGGAUCGUAAAGCUCUGUUGCCAGGGAAGAACGCUUGGGAGAGUAACUGCUCUCAAGGUGACGGUACCUGAGAAGAAAGCCCCGGCUAACUACGUGCCAGCAGCCGCGGUAAUACGUAGGGGGCAAGCGUUGUCCGGAAUUAUUGGGCGUAAAGCGCGCGCAGGCGGUCAUUUAAGUCUGGUGUUUAAUCCCGGGGCUCAACCCCGGAUCGCACUGGAAACUGGGUGACUUGAGUGCAGAAGAGGAGAGUGGAAUUCCACGUGUAGCGGUGAAAUGCGUAGAUAUGUGGAGGAACACCAGUGGCGAAGGCGACUCUCUGGGCUGUAACUGACGCUGAGGCGCGAAAGCGUGGGGAGCAAACAGGAUUAGAUACCCCUAGUAGUCA